CACCGAUGGCGAAGGCAAUCCCCUGGACCUGUACUGACGCUCAUGCACGAAAGCGUGGGGAGCAAACAGGAUUAGAUACCCUGGUAGUCCACGCCCUAAACGAUGUCAACUGGUUGUUGGGAAUUAGUUUUCUCAGUAACGAAGCUAACGCGUGAAGUUGACCGCCUGGGGAGUACGGCCGCAAGGUU
rnacentral:rRNA from 1 species